rnacentral:rRNA from 1 species
AGAACGAACGCUGGCGGCAGGCCUAAUACAUGCAAGUCGAACGCACUCUUCGGAGUGAGUGGCAGACGGGUGAGUAACGCGUGGGAACCUUCCCAAUGGUACGGAAUAACUCCGGGAAACCGGUGCUAAUACCGUAUAAGCCCCUCGGGGGAAAGAUUUAUCGCCAUUGGAUGGGCCCGCGUCGGAUUAGCUAGUUGGUAAGGUAAUGGCUUACCAAGGCUACGAUCCGUAGCUGGUCUGAGAGGAUGAUCAGCCACACUGGGACUGAGACACGGCCCAGACUCCUACGGGAGGCAGCAGUAGGGAAUCUUGGACAAUGGGCGAAAGCCUGAUCCAGCCAUGCCGCGUGAGUGAAGAAGGCCUUAGGGUUGUAAAGCUCUUUUGGCGGGGACGAUAAUGACGGUACCGCAGAAUAACGCCCGGCUAACUUCGUGCCAGCAGCCGC